rnacentral:misc_RNA from 1 species
GAGAUUGGGGAUCCUUAACUGAUCGAGGUCACCUGGUUAAAAGAUUGGUUGCGAGGCUAGCUGCCAGCUGGACCUACGGGAGCGGGUGACAAAGCCCCAUACGCUCGAGGACCAGACAUGGUGCCGCCACUGCCUUUUGGGCCCGUCCCCGUUGCCAGGGACGGAAGCCCAACACACAAGCCGUGCUUGAGGGCAGCAAUGACGCUCGGACAGGCAUGCCCCCCGGAAUACCAGGGGGCGCAAUGUGCGUUCAAAGACUCGAUGAUUCACUGAAUUCUGCAAUUCACAUUAAUUAUCGCAUUUCGCUGCGUUCUUCAUCGAUGCCGGAACCAAGAGAUCCGUUGUUGAAAGUUUUAACGAUUGUUUAACUAAAAACUCAGACUGCAAACUUCAGACAGCGUUCAAAUGUUAGUCUCCGGCGGGCCGUGGCCACGCCGAAGCAACAGGGUACAGAUAGACACGGAUGGGAGGUUGGACCCAGAGGGCCCGCACUCGGUAAUGAUCCUUCCGCAGGUCACCCCUACCGAAAAGC